AUUGCCUCAGUAACGGCGAGUGAAGCGGCAAGAGCUCAAAUUUGAAAGCUGGCUCCUUCGGGGUCCGCAUUGUAAUUUGCAGAGGAUGCUUCGGGCGUGGCCCCCGUCUAAGUGCCCUGGAAGGGGCCGUCAUAGAGGGUGAGAAUCCCGUCUGGGACGGGGUGUCCGUGUCCGUGUGAAGCUCCUUCGACGAGUCGAGUUGUUUGGGAAUGCAGCUCUAAAUGGGUGGUAAAUUUCAUCUAAAGCUAAAUACUGGCCGGAGACCGAUAGCGCACAAGUAGAGUGAUCGAAAGAUGAAAAGCACUUUGAAAAGAGAGUUAAACAGCACGUGAAAUUGUUGAAAGGGAAGCGUUUGCGACCAGACUCGCUCGCGGGGUUCAGCCGGCAUUCGUGCCGGUGUACUUCCCCGUGGGCGGGCCAGCGUCGGUUUGGGCGGCCGGUCAAAGGCCUCCGGAAUGUAUCACCUCUCGGGGUGUCUUAUAGCCGGGGUGCAAUGCGGCCUGCCUGGACCGAGGAACGCGCUUCGGCUCGGACGCUGGCGUAAUGGUCGUAAAAUGACCCGUCUUGAAACACGGACCAAGGAGUCUAACAUCUACGCGAGUGUUCGGGUGUCAAACCCGUACGCGCAGUGAAAGCGAACGGAGGUGGGAGCCCCCUCGUGGGGCGCACCAUCGACCGAUCCUGAUGUCUUAUGGAUGGAUUUGAGUAAGAGCGUAAUGUG
rnacentral:rRNA from 1 species